UACGUAGGGUGCAAGCGUUAAUCGGAAUUACUGGGCGUAAAGCGUGCGCAGGCGGUUUUGUAAGUCAGAUGUGAAAUCCCCGGGCUUAACCUGGGAACUGCGUUUGAAACUACAAGGCUAGAGUGUGGCAGAGGGGGGUGGAAUUCCACGUGUAGCAGUGAAAUGCGUAGAGAUGUGGAGGAACACCGACGGCGAAGGCAGCCCCCUGGGUUAACACUGACGCUCAGGCACGAAAGCGUGGGGAGCAAACAGG
rnacentral:rRNA from 1 species